rnacentral:lncRNA from 1 species
CACGCGUUUAACACCACGAAGGCGCCGCCAUUCUUCAUAGUUGUCUACCUCACUUAUGAACAUAUUAACAACAUUAUUCAAUGAGCUUCAACUGUUUUUUUUUGUUUAGGAUCUAACCGUUCUCACACACCUCAGCGUGGAGUUUGUAAUCCAUCACAUUUUGGGAGCAGAAAAGGUUGGGCAUCCUCAUCCAGUGAGUCAAUGAUCAGUUGCAUUCUUCAUAGUUGUCAAUUCUCCUACCUCACUUAUUAACAUUAUUGCAGGAGAAAAAAAAUAUUUCAAUGAGCUUCAACAGUUUUUUUUUAAUAAUUUUUCUUCAGGAUCUAAGCGUUCUCGCACACCUCAGCGUGGAGUUCCAAAUCCAGCACAGUCCGGGAGCAGAAAAGGUCGGGCAUCCUCAUCCAGAUUUAGUCGUUCUCGCACACCUCAGCGUGGAGUUCCAAAUCCAGCACAGUCCGGGAGCAGAAAAGGUCAGGCAUCCUCAUCCAGUGAGUCCAUGAUCAGUUGCAUUCUUCAUAGUUGUCAAUUCUCCUACCUCACUUAUUGGCCAUAUUGCAGGAGCAGCUGUCUUUAAAAACGAUUUCAGUAAGCUUCAAUGUUGUUGUUUUUUGUAAUUAUGCAGUUAAAUUUUUACUCAUUGCCUGCUCUGUUUACCGCCCUCUUAGCACUUAGAAAAGCAAAAAUAUAGAAAGAGAUGAUUCAUUAGGAAUAAUGCAAGCAUAAAGGAAUAUUUGUAGAAUGUAGGCAUGGACCUAUAUAUAUGAUUUUCUGCAUGUUUUCUCAGGCUUUUCACCAACAAUCUAAUGGCUGGUUUCAACAUGAAGGGGCAGGGUCGCAGUGAGAAAAAAGCCUUCCAGGAUACAGUUUUUUACUCUUUGGUAAAAGGUAACUGCAUUUUUCAUGUUUAUACAGGUGCUUCUCAAAUUAGAAUAUUGAAAAAAGUCAAUUCAUUUUAGGAACUUAACAGGUGAGACCAAUGUAUUAGACUCAUUACAUGCAAAGUGAGACAUUUCAAGCCUUUAUUUGUUAUACAUUUGAUUAUGGCUUACAGCUUAUGAAACCCACAAAUCCAAAAUCUUGCAAAUUCAGAAUAUUACAUCAAAUCGAUAAAGGAAUUUUAAAUACAGAAAUGUUGGCUCUCUGAAAAGUAUAAUCAUGCAUACUCUGUACUUGUUUUUUUUUAACAGAAUUUAUUUGUAUUUUUUAGAACAAAACUGUGUGGUCCAAUAAAUGCAGUGCCAAAUUUAAUACCAUCUAUAUUAGAGCACUGGGCAUUUCAAAUAUUUUUGAAAUCAUGCUUAUUUUCUAAACAAGUAUUUAUUUCCAGUUUAAUUUUCUGAUUUCCCAUGGGCCCCCCCUCACUGGUUCUUUGUCCUCCAUUUAUAAAAUCCUGGAAUUGCCCUGCUGAGUACAUAUGCAUGAUUAUACUUUUCAGAGGGCCAACAUUUCUGUAUUUACAAUCUUUUUUUUUUUAUUGAUUUUGUAAUCUAAUUUUCUGAGAUUUUGAAAUUGAGAUUUUGAAAUUGGCUUGUAAGCCAUAAUCAUCAAAAUUAUAACAAAGCCUUGAAAUAUC